ensembl:lncRNA
AAAUCAGGGGUCAGUCUGAAAGUGGGGUGAGAGUCAGAGUGUGGCCAGAGUUGUUGGGGUUCGGCCAGACUGUGGCAGGGUUUGGGGAUACGUGUGGGCAGAAGUUGGCAGCAGUCAGUCUGGGGGCCCCGUUCGCAGACAGGGUGUGAGGGUUGGUCUGAGCAGCGUCAGAGGUCAAGGUUAGUGAGUCAGUGUGUGAGUAAGGUCAGUGGACCUCCGGAUCAGGGUAGUAGGUCACCCUGAGACCAGGAUUUGGGGCUUGCCUCUGACAAGCCAGAUAGGAGGAGGGCACUGGAGGCCUCAGAACUCAGAUUCCUAUCCCUCCGUGCUGGGGGCUGACCACAGCCUCCCCCGUCACCCAAGCCAUGGAGCUGACCUUCCAUGUGGGGCCACUCCCUGUGCUCAGCACCACUCUGCUCCUACUUUGUGCCAGAAGCUAGAGGCAGAAACCCUCAUCGGGCCAGACUGUGGUCAAAGGGAGCCCAGACUGGCGGUAACACUGGCCAUGGUAGGGUAGCCUUAAGCUUCUGGGGGACCCCAUCCUGGAGCCACCCAUGUUUAACAGGUUUGACUCCAUAUAUAAACAGAGUGCCAAGAAAUUGUUCAGAAGAGGCAUUCAGUAGUUCACAGCAUCUUAGUCUGCGUGGUAACAGGAACAGGGGGCGCUGCCUCCAUUUCACCCUUACGAGGUUCACAGAUUUGGGAGACCUGCCAAAGGUCACCCUGGGUGAAAUUGACAUUUCAGGAAGAUGUACCAGAUUUUUAUCACAUGGCUUUGUGAAACCCGGCACCCAGCCAACUUCACACACAAUCACAUAUGUGCAUACGGAUGUACGCUUUGAGAAGGCCAUGCUCCGCUGGGCUGCUUCCUAAAUGGGCCGAAGCAAGCCCUCUUAGCCCUGAGGACUGCCUGCGCUCUCUGUCCUGCUCAUCAUGCUCUGUGGAGUGAAGCGAGAAAGGGUGCUCACAUCUCAGCAGGAGCGUGUUCCUUGGCAAGACUGACCUGGGAGGAAUUCCUGGCUCUGGCCCUUAACCUGAGUGUCAGACCGUGGGUGCCAGUCCUGGCCCUCUCCUCUCCUUGCUGUGCAACCCUGGGCACCUAGCUUUGCCUCUCUGAGCCUCAGCUUCUUAUCUGUGAAACGCUUUCUACCUUUCAGGCUUGUUGUGAGGAUCAGAGAAAUGCAUAAAAAGGGCCUGCACAUAGUCAUGGCUCCACAAGUGAGAGCUCUUAAAAGUCUGGCUGGUGUUUUAGCUCCAUAAAAGCUAUCUUUUAUAUGUACUUUAAUAAAACGGGGCUACGGUCUGUGUGCCUUACACAAUUAAUACACUUUCUUGCAUUUGAACACAUCUGUUAAUCCAAUCAAGGUGUUUUUCCUCCUAAAUUAUCUUCUUUCAUAUUUUAUUCAUAUUUUACAAUGUCUGGGCACGUCGUUGAAGCCGACUGAGCCUCAGUUUCCUCAUCUCUAAAAUGGGAAAAAUGCCUUUCUUACAAGGUUGUUUCGAGAAUUCAACGAGACGGUGUAUGUGAAAAUGCUUUGUAGAUUGUAAAGUCGAACACGUGCCAGAGAUAUUUUCCUGUACGCCCCUCCCUCUCACUAGGCUGAAUUCCUCAAAGACAAGAGAGAGUUUUGUUGACCUUUAUUCAGCCCCAGCAUUGAAUGUGUACUAAUAAAUUUAAUAAUAAUGGUGAGGGAGAUAGGAAUUCUCAUUUCUUGAACGCUCCCUGUGAACGAGGCUCUGGGCUGAGGGCAUCCUAAUGGAAGGAUGAGUGACAGACGUUUAAAAGGUUUGGGUUCCCUCUGCUGCUGAUUGAAAGGUGAAGGGAUUGUCGUCCUUUUCCCUAGGGCAAGUUCUGUUUUCCAUGCUGCAGACAAAUUAAUUUCAUUCUUGGGUCUUUUCCAUUGUUUGGCCAAUCCAUUGUAUAACAAUAAUAGCACUCGUUAGUUUCCUUAUGUAUAAAAUGGGGCUAAUGAUCAACUGGCCUCAUGUAAAGGUGGCUCAUAAAUGACAGUAACUUUCCCUUCCUCCUUUCCUUCCUCCCCAGCUACGCACACCCUUCCCUUGGAGAAGAAGUUGGUGAUGGGGCGAGAUGAUUAAGCUGGGCGGCAAAGAGCUGAGUCCCUUCACCCCUCUGGGCUUUUGUUUCUUUUUGGCACAGGGUGGCAGAUCUUUUAGGAAUAAAGCCCUGAUUCUGAGACCUUCUGAGCCCUUCCUCAUUCAGAAAAUCUCUCUCAUCUGCCAUAGCACCGAAGAUUCCACUCACCAAAUACCACGUGUCCCCUCU